rnacentral:lncRNA from 1 species
UUGUCCAAAAUCUGUUACAAUAGAUGUUUCUUUGGCAACGUUUUAGACGACCGUAACAAUAAGUCUAUCUAUGGUAACGGUUUCUUGAAAUUUUUUAUUUAUUGCAACGAUUAUGAAUUCCCUCUACUUUUUUCCCCAAAAUUUGGACGACUCCCGCUAAAAAGAGACCCACUUUAAUUAAUUUUCUAUUAUUUGUUAUAUUUAAUAAAAUAAGAGUACAAACCUAAUAAUACACUACAUCCGAUAUAGUCCACUCAAAACGCCACUCACAACUCUCUCUCCCAAAAAUCCUUCCUCGUUACCGGAGAUUACGAGGAGAAGACGUUACCACCAUCGGCGGCACCGGCGGUGUCAACGCUGGAAAAUCUCCUUAAGGCUAAUGCUCCUCUUGAUAAUCCGCUAGGGUUUCUCAAAAUGGUGUUCGACUUCAUUGGAAGAGAGUCAAAUCUGUUCAUAUGGUGAAAGAUAAGUUGAAUACUAAUCGAAGAGCCCUCGUCUUUGUUGUUCACCUUAUUAAUUUCUCCCUUCCUUGAAGUUGUGAGUAUUUUCUGUUGAAGCUUUGAAUCUAUCUUAGAAAUCUGUUAAGAUAUUUUUGUACUAUAAUUUACCCCUUUUUGCAAUCAAUUUUAUGACGAAAACAUAAAAUUGCAUCCUAAUUUCAUCCUGUUUUCUACUGUAAAAGUCGCACGAUUUUCGCCUUUGAAGCAGAAUAGUAGCAGGUUUCGCCGUCUUCUUGCCAAGGUAGAAUAUCCCCUAAGUAUAAAAUUUUCUUUUUUAUUGCUGAAUGUAUUAAGAAUAAUUGAGUUCUUAUUGUGUUAAUUAGCAUUAUUGAUGGUUAUCUUGUUCAUUCCAAAGUGCCCUUUAAUCUGCGAUAAUUUCUGGAAUAUGGGAUUGUUGUUAUGGUUGAUGUUAAAUUGCUUAACCGUGAUUUCUAUUUCUAAGAAAAUUUUGUGUGAUUACCUCUUUCUAUUAAUUCUUGUUUUAGCUCGAGGAGAUUCUCAUCUAUUGGAUCCAUAUAGAGUCUUUGAUCCAAUAAUAGUGUGAUGAGCUAAAUGUAGAGUAUCAAAAUAUUGGGGAUAUCAGAAUAAAUAAUUUAAUAAAAAGAGAAAAUUAAAAGAAAUGUUGUCUUUGUUAAUCAAAAUUGUUGCCUUUGUUAUACGUACGUAGUGCUAUAUUUUAACUGAUUACUAUAUAAUUUCAAGAUUGGUAUGUAGCCAAUUCACCUUCACCAUUGACUUAAUAUUUUCUUUUACUGUUGUUAGCUUUCUGAAUACCAUUGUGAUUUUUCUUUUUUACAAAUAUUUAUAUGAUUGCUUUGGUCUUUUGUGACUGAAUUAUUGGAAAGAAUUCGGCUUAUAUGUGGAAUAAGCUUUCAGCUUCUGUCUUUGAGUAACUUUAUGUCAAAUUCUUUGUUGUGCUAAUCUGCUUUCAAUUAUAUCUUCUAUCUCUUUUUGGUUUCUUGAGCCCCUUUUAGUCUUUUUUAAUAUUUUCCCUUUUUUGGAUAUUCUUAUGUUGGACCUUUUCUUUGUGAAUUAUUUUGGAGUUUUGUCUGAUUUUUAAUUUACUGCAUUAGUUGAUUGCAAAAGACUUUCUUGAAAUAAUUUCAGGUAUAUCUUUCUUAAUUUAGUAGACACUGAAGUAUGGACUAAUGCAUCAGUCCAAAAACCGUUAAAAUGACUAGCUUCAAAUGGAGAAUAGAUCGAUAGAGUUCCGUAGUCUCACUUUAAGGAUCUUCUUGAAUAUUGGAACUCCUAUCCUGCCAAGGUAAUUAUAUCCAACUUUUUGCCAACUUUCUUGAAUAAUUUCCUCGGCACAUUCUAUUAAUUGUUGGGGGUCUUUGUCCUAUAUGGAUCAGGCUUAGUAAAAUUUCCUUGAAGCAAUUUUAUGAGUUUGUUCUUUAAACUCUACAGGAGAUGUUCAAAUACAAUGACUAGUAGGAUAUGUUCAAAUGCUUACUAGUAAAAGAAUUAGAUUGGCACUUAGACAUCUAGACUGGAAGAAAUCUUUUCACUUUAUUAAGAAAGAAAACAAAAGUUCGAAAAAAAAGGAAGUAGAAGCUUUUCAUUCUCAAAAUACUGAAACAUCCACCAUGUGUCAUUUCGAGAUGUCCAUAUUAACGUGUCACUAAUUCCUGUUUUAGUAAUGAUGUUAAUGUAUAACUAAUAUAAAAUUAUACAUAGUUAUUAUGUAUUCACUGGCUACAUCUAAAUCUUUAAUUCACAUGUGUGUUUAGUAAGUUGUUAUAUAAGUAAUUUUCAAUCAAAACUAAGAAAAUCUAUUCAUUAAACAUACAAACAUAGUUGAACAAAUUAACUCAAAGAAAUUAAAAGAAACAUUCUUGUUGGAACUUGGCUUCUGCUAGUUUUUGCCACUGGAGCACUUGACUCACAACCACACCCUAAAUAUAACGGAAACACCACAAACUUCUCCAUUGAUCUAUCCUUCAUAUUUUCUUGUACUUAUAUUAGAAAAGAGUAAUCCCAAAAUGGAGAAAAAAAAGAAAAGAAACAAGAAUCAAAGAUACUACGAAUAGUUGAAGAGAUAAAGAGAGAUAUUAGGAGAUAAUGAUUGGCUUAGUGAAGAAGAUAUAAUGAUAUAAGAUGUAGAAGAAGAUGUGACAGUAAGACACACACACACAAUGAAGAAGAUUGGUGGAAUGAGACAUAUGAGAGAGUGAGACAAGCCAAAAAGAGAAUAAUAUGUGGGGAUAGAGUAGUAGUUAGGUAGCUUUUUAGCGUUCCAGACACAAUAGCCAACACUAAUUGCUUGUUGCUUCCUUUUCUGUGGAUGGUUAAGUUUCUAAACUUUUUCCUUUUGCCUUGUUCGUUAUUUACAGUAUUUCUCAACCUAAUAAACAAAGAAUAAGCCUUUUCUUUUUAUCUCUCUUUUCCUAAAUACCGUUUUGUUUUAAUUGAUCAUGAUUUGCUUCUAAUUUUCUUUCACUAUUAAUUUGGGGUUUGGUACUAAUAUUUUAUGAGAGCAAGAUCAUGAAAUCUCCAAGAGUUAUAUUUAACUUGCAUAUUUAGGUUUCUAAGUUUGCUCUCAUACCUCUGGUGAAUCAAGGCAACUUUAAUUUGGUGGAUAGUGUUUCCUAUAAGGUUAUUAACUGUGUUUACUGAUUUUGGGCUCGUUUGGGCUGACGAUGACAAACUGCUUACCAGAAUUUGAAACACAACUGUAACAAGUAACCCCCCGACCUAUUGUCUCCCAUUGUACCAUUAUGUGUGAUGUUGCAUGAUGCCUCAUUGGACCUUUGGCCUUGUCGUCCGUCCGGAGAUAUCGUAAAAUCGGAAGGUAGCAAUGGGAUGUUAGUGGUAUCUUCACCACUCAUUGCAAUAUUGAUGGCUGGCAAUCUGUAGGGCUGUAGAUCACUAGUGAACCUGAUGAGUCUAUGCAACUUUCUUGAAGUAUCAACAUGUUAUUCUGGCUUUUAUUAUAUGCCAGCAUUGUAAUUUAAAUGAGUAAUUUAAAGAGGAAUAAAAGGAGAAGUAAACCCAAUCAUUUCAUUAUUUGUUAAAUAAGAUGGAUUUUGAAAAUUACCCAGAGCAUAGAAAUACAGUUCCCUGGGUGAGAGCCAUUUGCAAUGUUGCUUUUGUAAUUAUUAUUCAUUUAUUGCAUAACCCAGAUUCCAGUAUAAUGUGAUUGUGCUUUAUAUAUGAUUAUGUCCCUUUUUUCUUGCCUUGCUCUUUAUUUUUGGAUCAACACAUAUAACCUUUUGAACCAGUACCUCUUUACUUUUUUCCCUGUUUCUUUUCAUUCUCUAGUGAAGCAUAUGCUUGAGAGCUGAAUCUGUACAUUCAUAAACAACAUCCUGGAAAGCUAGUCUUCUUAUUAACUGUUAUGUAAUUUAUGGUGGCUUCUUGGGUGGCUACUGAAAGUUCAAACUUUCCAGGAUAUGAUUUUGUUUUACAAAAGAUGAAACCCAUGUUCAUUUUUUUACCCUUGGUUUUUUGGACUAAGAGAAUUAUAAGACCGGAUUCUCUUGUAGGAUAAUAAUUUUAUUUAUACUCUUUUGUAGGUGGAGUAGAUGAAGAAAUGGAAGACGGGGGCAGUGAAGAUCUCGACCUUACUUAAGUGAAGUUUGAAUUGUUGUAGAUGCAUGUAGCCUAGGAAUGUUUGUUAUCAACAUUUUAAAACUUUUAACGCUUGAAAUAUAAAAUGUAUGUACUUGGUAACAUUUUAUCACGUUUAUGGAUAUUGCUAGUUUGUUGGACAAUUUGGAUUAUGAAUAGUUUUAUUUUGUUAUUUUUAUCAAUUUUAGUGUUUUAUAGUUUAUUGUAUAUGUAAAUAUUUAUUUACAACAAG